rnacentral:rRNA from 1 species
AUUGAACGCUGGCGGCAUGCUUUACACAUGCAAGUCGAACGGUAACAGGGAGCUUGCUCCGCUGACGAGUGGCGAACGGGUGAGUAAUGCGUCGGAACGUGCCGAGUAGUGGGGGAUAACGCAUCGAAAGGUGUGCUAAUACCGCAUACGUACUGAGGUAGAAAGUGGGGGACCUUCGGGCCUCACGCUAUUCGAGCGGCCGACGUCUGAUUAGCUAGUUGGUGAGGUAAAGGCUCACCAAGGCGACGAUCAGUAGCGGGUCUGAGAGGAUGAUCCGCCACACUGGGACUGUUACACGGCCCAGACUCCUACGGGAGGCAGCAGUGGGGAAUUUUGGACAAUGGGCGCAAGCCUGAUGCAGCCAUGCCGCGUGUCUGAAGAAGGCCUUCGGGUUGUAAAGGACUUUUGUCCGGGAGCAAAUGCUGGUGGCUAACAUCCACCGGAGCUGAGAGUACCGGAAGAAUAAGCACCGGCUAACUACGUGCCAGCCGCCGCGGUAACAC